rnacentral:rRNA from 1 species
AUUGAACGCUGGCGGAAUGCUUUACACAUGCAAGUCGGGCGGCAGCGCGGGGGCAACCCUGGCGGCGAGCGGCGAACGGGUGAGUAACACAUCGGAACGUACCCUGUCGUGGGGGAUAACGAAUCGAAAGAUUCGCUAAUACCGCAUACGACCUGAGGGUGAAAGCGGGGGAUCGCAAGACCUCGCGCGAGAGGAGCGGCCGAUGGCGGAUUAGCUAGUUGGUGGGGUAAAGGCCCACCAAGGCGACGAUCCGUAGCGGGUCUGAGAGGAUGAUCCGCCACACUGGGACUGAGACACGGCCCAGACUCCUACGGGAGGCAGCAGUGGGGAAUUUUGGACAAUGGGCGCAAGCCUGAUCCAGCCAUGCCGCGUGCGGGACGAAGGCCUUCGGGUUGUAAACUGCUUUUGUACAGAACGAAAAGGCUCUGGUUAAUACCUGGGGCUCAUGACGGUACUGUAAGAAUAAGCACCGGCUAACUACGUGCCAGCAGCCGCGGUAAACUGUAGUCGUCG